GGUUGAUAGAAAAGGAAGAAAUGGAGGGCAAAGUUCUUCAAUUCCUCAAUUCAAACCCACUUCCAUCAACCAUCCCCGUCUUCAAAAACCUUUCUUCAACAAUAACAACAACAGUACAGACUCCGGUUAUCGUACCUUGUCGGAGAAGAUCUCUCACACUAAAUUCCACCAACACCACAGGAGGCAACGAUGACCCUCCACAGCCAGCUCCAUCAAUCAUAACACCACCAGAAACUGUUGAGAUAAGGUUCAAAAGAGGCUCAAGAAAGAGGAACAGAAACAGAAAGCAGAGUGCAGAACCGGUGAAGGCACAGGCUGCUCCUGAUUCUCCAAAGAAGUGGGAGGACAUGAGCCUUUCAGAGAAGGCACUUGAGAUUUACAUUGGAGAGAAGGGAAUGCUGUUUUGGCUCAACAAAUUUGCUUAUGCUUCCAUUUUCAUUGUAAUCGGAGGUUGGAUACUCUUCAGGUUUGUGGGACCUUCUCUCAAUCUUUACCAGUUGGAUACUCCUCCUCUAUCCCCUACCAACAUGUUCAAGGGCUCGUGAAGUUCCAGUAAUCCCUCUGAGCUUUAGUUAUGAAAUGGAUGAUGAAUGCUGUUUUCCCUCUCUGAAGUUUUUGUUUCUAAAGAUUCUGUAACUGAAUCUAAACUAGCAUUAAACUAAUAAAGCAUUUCUCUAUUCAUUUUAUUUACUGCAUUAUUCCAAUUCCGAAUUUUUUAUUCACAGUUUCAAGCCGCAAUUGAAUUCCUCAUCCCUUAAAAUUUUGAAUACACAUAUUUUCCAGAAUCUUAGAAGAAUUAUCAAAGGCAAGAAUGAAUAGACAAUAACCAGACUGAGUAAAGCAAUAAGAAUUUACCUCAAUCUGCCGUUUCAGAUGAUACUCCAUAAUUGGAAGGAGAUUCAACGCCUUCGAAACGGCAUCGGACAGCUUUACAAUUGAUAGGAUGUCCGUAAAUCAGUUCCAGUAACCUCAUAAUGAUAAGUGAAAUCCUUUCCUUCUCUGCUUGUUCUCUCAUCCUCUGGUUCUUUGUGUCUAGUUUUGCACCCUUUUCGGCAGCUGCUGGCAACUGGCCACAGAAUAAAAAAAAAGGACAUUCUGUAGCAGCGGUAUGAUGUUAAUGCACUUAAAAUUUGUAAUUUAUGUGGCAUGAGUUUUGGUUAUGUCUUCAUGGAUUCGAUUUAAAAGUUUUUGCCCUUUAAAAUAUAAAUAUUGUAUUUUCUGAUCUUUUAUGUUGAGACUAGGAUUUGAGACUUAUGACUGAGUGAUUAUAUUUUGUGAAAUUUUUUUUUUCAUUUUGCCCGUCAACAAAAACUUUACAGUUGUGUGUUCUUUAGAGUUAGAUUUACUUACUUGUUAUAAGAAAAUUGGAACACCAUGGAGAGAGAAUCAAUAACUUACAAGCAUGCAGUGAAAAUACCAUCCCCUGUUUUUUACAUUUUGGCAUCCGCUGUUUGCAUUUUGUUGGGAUUGGCAUUGGCAACUGAAAAUAACCACUCUGCUAUUGGUAGACCACAACUCGAUGUGAUUAAGAUUGACCUAAUAUUGGUAAGAUUUAGGUCCUCUUUUCAAAGUGGAAAUGCGGUUUCUUUGUCAGUGAUUUGAAGCAAAGAAGGUAAUCGACUCAUUUCUUUCAGGCAAAACUUCAACAUCUUUUCCGUACAUGGCAAACCUUUCAAUUUAAUCUUCUCUGCUACCAUUUUGGAGGGUUUCGUGCCUACAAAUUCCGUUUGCAAUUUCAUCUUCGCAAGCAAGCUUUUUAUAUCUCUUGAGAAGGAUGUGGUGGACGAAAAUUUCACUGUAAUGCUACAAGAAAAAAUGUGUCUUUGAGUUAAUUAUUUGAAGAUCACACUUUUCUCAGUUUUACAAGUGCAAGCAAAUCCAAAUUUUACAUGAUUUCUGGGCAGACUUUCAACUGCUAACUGCUAAGCUAAGCGCCACUAAAGGCAAGGCUAUACAAAGAACCAUCAUCACCUGAGGCAUUCCUAUACAAUUUACAAAAGCAUUUUGCUAUGUGAAAGACUGAACCACCAAAGAAGUGGAGACUAAGCCCGAGAGAAGGCCAACAAUGAGAGCACUGUUAUAAGUAGUUGGUUCAGCUUGUACUGUGUUGUUUCGAGAGUCAUUAUAGGUUUCAUUGAAGAAGGGCCCUCCAACUAGAGCUCCAACUGCUACAUUUGGAUUAGGAUAGGGCGAGUCAAGCCACUCGAAUCCAUCUCCACACCCAGUUUUGGCAUCAACUGGAAUUGAUGAUCCUCUGUGGUGUACAUACUGAGGGUAGUCUUCUGCAUACCCAACAAGAAAACUCAUCUCCAUUGGAUUCUUUCCUAAGACAUAAUCUGCCUGCAAGUAUUUGAAGUAAUCAGGAAUCGUGUGACGAAGCAAUUUCUAUAUUAAUUUAUAUAUAGUUGCAUACCUGUGAGAGGGCAAAGCUACGAAGAUCAGCUGGACUGUAGAAUUUCCCGCUACAAUAUAAAGUUGGAAUAUGGGAGGCAACCAUGUAAUCACUAAACAGAACAGCUAGGAAUGCAGAGGCCACAGGGUAUUGCAGAGAAUUCCAUUUUAAAACCCAUAUCAGGCCAUCUGCAUUUACAGCACAAGGUUGUCAAUAAGCGAAACAAUGAGCAGCUUGUUUGCAGUCAAGAAAAAGAAGACUCACCAAUUAUUUUUAUUUAAUUUUCUAUUGUAAAAUUAAGAUCUUUUAUUCAGAUUUAUAUUAUAAUUAGGAAAUUUAAUUAGAAAGUAGUAUUUUCAUUGUUUAGGAAUUCUAUUAUUAUUAGGUCUAUUAUUUUUGAUCUUAAAUAUCUAAUUAGAUAUGAAUCGGAUUUCCUAAUUCUAUAAUAAUUAAUAACUCUUAAAUAAAGUUCUAAGCUUUCUAUACUGCAUUAUGCAUCAUCCAAGUUUGGUUUUGUCUUGGUUAUUUUAUUUUACGGUUAUCGGGUAGUGGCAAUUUUCUUUCAGUUAUUGGCUUGCUCUGAAUAUUAUAUACAUUGUGGAAACUGAAGGAAUGGCAACAAUUAACUUCUCAAAAUACUAUAAUUUCAAGAGAUCAAAG
rnacentral:misc_RNA from 1 species